CUUCGCCCCUGGACCCUUUUCCACCUCUGUGAGCUCUUUCUUCAAGUCGCCAAACUAAUCCGGAGAUUUGAACCGAUCCGAGAAUCACUCGCUACGCAAAAACUCGCGUUCGCUCCGCUGUUAAAGAAAAUAGCAUGUGAACCCCGAGAAAAAACGGACGUUUGCGCCUUAUUAUACAUUGAGUAGCUCUG